ACGGUGGCCUUCAGGUAAUGUAAAAACGCUCUCUAGAGCCAGUAUUUGGUUUGUCCGUUCUGGGCUACAGCAGAAACAUGGCGUAGCAGCAUGGCGGACUCCCUGAUGAGGACCCGCUCCCUAUGUAGCUAUGAAGGGCUCAUUCUAAGCGAAC